CGCAUCUGUGCAUGCAGCAUAUCAAUAAGCGGAGGAAAAGAAACUAACAAGGAUUCCCCUAGUAACGGCGAGUGAAGCGGGAAGAGCUCAAACUUGAAAUCUUAAAGGGUUUCCCUUUACGAAUUGUAGUUUAAAGAAGUGUUUUCUGUUGAGGUUUUGGUAAAAGUUCUUUGGAAUAGGACAUCAUAGAGGGUGAGAAUCCCGUAUUUGACCUUUACUUUCAACUUUGUGAUACACUUUCAAAGAGUCGGAUUGUUUGGGAAUGCAGUCCAAAAUGGGUGGUAAAUUUCAUCUAAAGCUAAAUAUUGGCGAGAGACCGAUAGCGAACAAGUACCGUGAGGGAAAGAUGAAAAGAACUUUGAAAAGAGAGUUAAACAGUACGUGAAAUUGUCAAAAGGGAAGCGUUUGACACCAGUGUUGUUUUUCUGAAAAUCAAUUAAAGAACUGUUUAUGCUAAGCUGUUUAGACUUUAUCAGCUAUCUGUUUAGUUUUAGGCUUUUCUUUAAUGCACUUUUCAGUUAACAAGUCAACAUCAAUUUCUUUUGCUGUAAAAAAGCUUGAGGAAGGUGGCUUGAGAUUCGUCUUAAGUGUUUAUAGCCUCUUGCCUAUGCAGUCGGAGAGAUUGAGGUCUGCAGCGUAGAUCCUUCGGGGCUAAAUGCAUUUGUGCUAAGUUAUAGCAUUUUAUAGACAACUUGUUGACUAUGAUUUGUCUUGUAGCUUACUCGCUUAUGUUAUUUUACCUACGCUUAGGAUGUUGAACGCGCACAGAGUCUC
rnacentral:rRNA from 1 species